rnacentral:rRNA from 2 species
GNGGNUUUGNAACCUUCGGCGUGCCUAAUACAUGCAAGUAGAACGCACAGUUUAUACCGUAGCUUGCUACACCAUAGACUGUGAGUUGCGAACGGGUGAGUAACGCGUAGGUAACCUGCCUGGUAGCGGGGGAUAACUAUUGGAAACGAUAGCUAAUACCGCAUAAUAUUAAUUAUUGCAUGAUAAUUGAUUGAAAGGUGCAAUUGCACCACUACCAGAUGGACCUGCGUUGUAUUAGCUAGUAGGUGAGGUAACGGCUCACCUAGGCGACGAUACAUAGCCGACCUGAGAGGGUGAUCGGCCACACUGGGACUGAGACACGGCCCAGACUCCUACGGGAGGCAGCAGUAGGGAAUCUUCGGCAAUGGACGAAAGUCUGACCGAGCAACGCCGCGUGAGUGAAGAAGGUUUUCGGAUCGUAAAGCUCUGUUGUAAGAGAAGAACGGGUGUGAGAGUGGAAAGUUCACACUGUGACGGUAUCUUACCAGAAAGGGACGGCUAACUACGUGCCAGCAGCCGCGGUAAUACGUAGGUCCCGAGCGUUGUCCGGAUUUAUUGGGCGUAAAGCGAGCGCAGGCGGUUAGAUAAGUCUGAAGUUAAAGGCUGUGGCUUAACCAUAGUACGCUUUGGAAACUGUUUAACUUGAGUGCAGAAGGGGAGAGUGGAAUUCCAUGUGUAGCGGUGAAAUGCGUAGAUAUAUGGAGGAACACCGGUGGCGAAAGCGGCUUCUGGUCUGUAACUGACGCUGAGCUCGAAAGCGUUGGGGAGCGACAGAUUA